CUCCUCGGCGGACCAGGGGCUUCCCUGCCCGAGGAGAUCCCGCAGCAGCCCCAGAUGCGCCUUGGAGUCUUGAUUUUUACGGCCCGCGGAGAGCCCUGGCCUGCCGAGGCGACCUCCUACGGGUGACCACCCACGGAGUGGGGGCGAGGCCCCAGACGGUCCCCGGGUGUGCCCGCCACCCACAGAGCCAGGGCUGCAGGGCACCGAGGACUGGCUCCCGCGGGAACGCCCGCUCCGCGCUUGGCUGCUCAGCUGAGGCGCAUUCCUCCCUCUGCUUUUUUUGACAAAUUAGGUCGUAGCCAGGGUUGGUGGCACUUAUUACAAUAAUUCCGCCAUCUCCGGCAAACCCUAACUACCGGGCACCUGCUGUGCGUCCUCAGGUUUCCCACUUAACUACCCUGCGAGUUGCCUGUAGUGGCCCCGAGGUUACGACGCGGGACUGAGACUCGCGAGGGCGCGGGGGAGCAGUGGCUCCACCCGGGCCCCAACCCGCUCCCGGCUGGCUGCUGUUAGGCCCCUCGCUGAAGCGCUCCCACAUCUGAAGCUUAAUGGGUUUGGUGUGAAGACUAUUGCAAAAUUGGAACUCUUAGGAUCACUUCCUGCCGCUUUGCAAGGGCUGACUCCGUAGCACUUCCCGUUUUCCGUGCUUUUAUAUGUAACCUGCAUUUUGAUUCCGCACUGGGAAAAC
rnacentral:lncRNA from 1 species